UACAGAGGGUGCAAGUGUUGCUCGGAAUCACUGGGCGUAAAGGGCGUGUAGGCGGGGAGGAAAGUCAGAUGUGAAAUCCCUGGGCUCAACCCAGGAACUGCAUUUGAAACUCCCUUUCUUGAGUACCGGAGAGGAAAGUGGAAUUCCUGGUGUAGAGGUGAAAUUCGUAGAUAUCAGGAGGAACGCCAGUGGCGAAGGCGGCUUUCUGGACGGUAACUGACGCUGAGACGCGAAAGCGUGGGGAGCAAACAGG
rnacentral:rRNA from 1 species